rnacentral:tRNA from 1 species
GCUGGCGUAGCUCAACCGGUAGAGCACCUGCCUUGUAAGCAGGGGGUUAGGGGUUCGACUCCCCUUGUCAGCU